rnacentral:misc_RNA from 1 species
UACACUGUCGACGGAGACGAAACCGUGCCUGUUCUAAGUGCUGGUUACAUGUGUGCCAAAGGCUGGAGAGGGAAAACUAGAUUUAAUCCUUCAGGAAUCCGAACAUAUGUUAGAGAGUACAAUCAUUCUCCACCAUCAAACUUGCUAGAAGGACGGGGAACGCAGAGCGGCGCUCAUGUCGAUAUAAUGGGGAACUUUGCAUUGAUUGAAGAUAUAAUUCGAAUAGCAGCAGGGGCUCAAGGGGAAGAUUUGGGAGGUGAUCAAGUCUAUUCUGAUAUCUUUAAAUGGUCAGAGAAGAUCAAAUUGCCUCUGUGAUGUGUGAUGAUCCUAGUUGUUAGUUGAUGAUAAAUGUUAUUCUGAUAUCAUAGCAAAUUCAGCACACAAAAAUAUGCUUGAAACUGCAUCAUUUCAAGUAGCUGUGGUAAUUUUAGGAGUAUGGG